rnacentral:rRNA from 1 species
UUGCUAUACAUGCAGUCGAGCGAACAGACGAGGAGCUUGCUCCUCUGACGUUAGCGGCGGACGGGUGAGUAACACGUGGAUAACCUACCUAUAAGACUGGGAUAACUUCGGGAAACCGGAGCUAAUACCGGAUAAUAUAUUGAACCGCAUGGUUCAAUAGUGAAAGACGGUUUUGCUGUCACUUAUAGAUGGAUCCGCGCCGCAUUAGCUAGUUGGUAAGGUAACGGCUUACCAAGGCAACGAUGCGUAGCCGACCUGAGAGGGUGAUCGGCCACACUGGAACUGAGACACGGUCCAGACUCCUACGGGAGGCAGCAGUAGGGAAUCUUCCGCAAUGGGCGAAAGCCUGACGGAGCAACGCCGCGUGAGUGAUGAAGGUCUUCGGAUCGUAAAACUCUGUUAUUAGGGAAGAACAAAUGUGUAAGUAACUAUGCACGUCUUGACGGUACCUAAUCAGAAAGCCACGGCUAACUACGUGCCAGCAGCCGCGGUAAUACGUAGGUGGCAAGCGUUAUCCGGAAUUAUUGGGCGUAAAGCGCGCGUAGGCGGUUUUUUAAGUCUGAUGUGAAAGCCCACGGCUCAACCGUGGAGGGUCAUUGGAAACUGGAAAACUUGAGUGCAGAAGAGGAAAGUGGAAUUCCAUGUGUAGCGGUGAAAUGCGCAGAGAUAUGGAGGAACACCAGUGGCGAAGGCGACUUUCUGGUCUGUAACUGACGCUGAUGUGCGAAAGCGUGGGGAUCAAACAGGAUUAGAUACCCUGGUAGUCCACGCCGUAAACGAUGAGUGCUAAGUGUUAGGGGGUUUCCGCCCCUUAGUGCUGCAGCUAACGCAUUAAGCACUCCGCCUGGGGAGUACGACCGCAAGGUUGAAACUCAAAGGAAUUGACGGGGACCCGCACAAGCGGUGGAGCAUGUGGUUUAAUUCGAAGCAACGCGAAGAACCUUACCAAAUCUUGACAUCCUCUGACCCCUCUAGAGAUAGAGUUUUCCCCUUCGGGGGACAGAGUGACAGGUGGUGCAUGGUUGUCGUCAGCUCCUGUCGUGAGAUGUUGGUUAAGUCCCGCAACGACCGCAACCUUAAGCUUAGUU